rnacentral:rRNA from 1 species
CUCCGGUUGAUCCCGCCGGACCUGACUGCUAUCGGAUUGGUACUAAGCCAUGCGAGUCGUUGUAGCAAUACAAGGCGGACGGCUCAGUAACACGUAGUCAACCUAACCUAUGGACGUGGAUAACCUCGGGAAACUGAGAAUAAACCGCGAUAGAUCAUUAUGCCUGGAAUGGCUUAUGGUUCAAACAAUUUAUUGCCGUAGGAUGGGACUGCGGCCUAUCAGCUUGUUGGUGAGGUAAUGGCCCACCAAGGCUAUAACAGGUACGGGCUCUGAGAGGAGAAGCCCGGAGAUGGGUACUGAGACACGGACCCAGGCCCUAUGGGGCGCAGCAGGCGAGAAACCUUAGCAAUGUGCGAAAGCACGACUAGGUUAAUCCGAGUGAUUUCUGUUGAAGAAAUCUUUUGUCAGUCGUAAAACCACAGACGAAUAAGGGGUGGGCAAGUCUGGUGUCAGCCGCCGCGGUAAUACCAGCACCUCGAGUGGUCAGGAGGUUUAUUGGGCCUAAAGCAUCCGUAGCCGGCUACGCAAGUCUCCGGUUAAAUCCAGCUGCUCAACAGAUGGGCUGCCGGAGAUACUACAUAGCUAGGGAGCGGGAGAGGUAGACGGUAUUCUGUGGGUAGGGGUAAAAUCCACUGAUCCAUAGAGGACCACCAGUGGCGAAGGCGGUCUACCAGAACGCGUUCGACGGUGAGGGAUGAAAGCUGGGGGAGCAAACCGGAUUAGAUACCCGGGUAGUCCCAGCUGUAAACGAUGCAAACUCGGUGAUGCAUUGGCUUAUGGCCAAUGCAGUGCCGCAGGGAAGCCGUUAAGUUUGCCGCCUGGGAAGUACGGACGCAAGUCUGAAACUUAAAGAAAUGGCGGGGGAGCA